rnacentral:rRNA from 1 species
UUCCUCAAUCGAGUGGCGAACGGGUGAGUAACGCGUGAGGAACCUGCCUCAAAGAGGGGGACAACAGUUGGAAACGACUGCUAAUAUCGCAUAAGCCCACGGGUCGGCAUCGACCAGAGGGAAAAGGAGCAAUCCGCUUUGAGAUGGCCUCGCGUCCGAUUAGCUAGUUGGUGAGGUAACGGCCCACCAAGGCAACGAUCGGUAGCCGGACUGAGAGGUUGAACGGCCACAUUGGGACUGAGACACGGCCCAGACUCCUACGGGAGGCAGCAGUGGGGAAUAUUGCACAAUGGGGGAAACCCUGAUGCAGCGACGCCGCGUGGAGGAAGAAGGUCUUCGGAUUGUAAACUCCUGUUGUUGAGGAAGAUAAUGACGGUACUCAACAAGGAAGUGACGGCUAACUACGUGCCAGCAGCCGCGGUAAAACGUAGGUCACAAGCGUUGUCCGGAAUUACUGGGUGUAAAGGGAGCGCAGGCGGGAAGACAAGUUG